AGAGUUUGAUCCUGGCUCAGGAUGAACGCUAGCGGCAGGCUUAACACAUGCAAGUCGAGGGGCAGCAUAAUGGAUAGCAAUAUCUAUGGUGGCGACCGGCGCACGGGUGCGUAACGCGUAUGCAACCUACCUUUAACAGGGGGAUAACACUGAGAAAUUGGUACUAAUACCCCAUAAUAUCAUAGAAGGCAUCUUUUAUGGUUGAAAAUUCCGAUGGUUAGAGAUGGGCAUGCGUUGUAUUAGCUAGUUGGUGGGGUAACGGCUCACCAAGGCGACGAUACAUAGGGGGACUGAGAGGUUAACCCCCCACAUUGGUACUGAGACACGGACCAAACUCCUACGGGAGGCAGCAGUGAGGAAUAUUGGUCAAUGGACGCAAGUCUGAACCAGCCAUGCCGCGUGCAGGAAGACGGCUCUAUGAGUUGUAAACUGCUUUUGUACGAGAGUAAACGCUCUUACGUGUAAGAGCCUGAAAGUAUCGUACGAAUAAGGAUCGGCUAACUCCGUGCCAGCAGCCGCGGUAAUACGGAGGAUCCAAGCGUUAUCCGGAUUUAUUGGGUUUAAAGGGUGCGUAGGCGGUUUGAUAAGUUAGAGGUGAAAUACCGGUGCUUAACACCGGAACUGCCUCUAAUACUGUUGAACUAGAGAGUAGUUGCGGUAGGCGGAAUGUAUGGUGUAGCGGUGAAAUGCUUAGAGAUCAUACAGAACACCGAUUGCGAAGGCAGCUUACCAAACUAUAUCUGACGUUGAGGCACGAAAGCGUGGGGAGCAAACAGGAUUAGAUACCCUGGUAGUCCACGCAGUAAACGAUGAUAACUCGUUGUCGGCGAUACACAGUCGGUGACUAAGCGAAAGCGAUAAGUUAUCCACCUGGGGAGUACGUUCGCAAGAAUGAAACUCAAAGGAAUUGACGGGGGCCCGCACAAGCGGAGGAACAUGUG
rnacentral:rRNA from 1 species